rnacentral:rRNA from 1 species
AACGCUGGCGGCUGGCUUAACACAUGCAAGUCGAGCGGGGGAAGGUAGCUUGCUACCGGACCUAGCGGCGGACGCCUGAGUAAUGCUUAGGAAUCUGCCUAUUAGUGGGGGACAACAUCUCGAAAGGGAUGCUAAUACCGCAUACGUCCUACGGGAGAAAGCAGGGGAUCUUCGGACCUUGCGCUAAUAGAUGAGCCUAAGUCGGAUUAGCUAGUUGGUGGGGUAAAGGCCUACCAAGGCGACGAUCUGUAGCGGGUCUGAGAGGAUGAUCCGCCACACUCCCACUGAGACAGCGCCCAGACUCCUACGGGAGGCAGCAGUGGGGAAUAUUGGACAAUGGGGGGAACCCUGAUCCAGCCAUGCCGCGUGUGUGAAGAAGGCCUUAUGGUUGUAAAGCACUUUAAGCGAGGAGGAGGCUACUUUAGUUAAAUCCUAGAGAUAGUGGACGUUACUCGCAGAAUAAGCACCGGCUAACUCUGUGCCAGCAGCCGCGGUAAUACAGAGGGUGCGAGCGUUAAUCGGAUUUACUGGGCGUAAAGCGUGCGUAGGCGGCUUAUUAAGUCGGAUGUGAUUUCCCCGAGCUUAACUUGGGAAUUGCAUUCGAUACUGGUGAGCUAGAGUAUCCCAGAGGAUGGUAGAAUUCCAGGUGUAGCGGUGAAAUGCGUAGAGAUCUGGAGGAAUACCGAUGGCGAAGGCAGCCAUCUGGCCUAAUACUGACGCUGAGGUACGAAAGCAUGGGGAGCAAACAGGAUUAGAUACCCUGGUAGUCCAUGCCGUAAACGAUGUCUACUAGCCGUUGGGGCCUUUGAGGCUUUAGUGGCGCAGCUAACGCGAUAAGUAGACCGCCUCCCGAGUACGGUCGCAAGACUAAAACUCAAAUGAAUUGACGGGGGCCCGCACUUGCGGUGGAGCAUGUGGUUUAAUUCGAUGCAACGCGAAGAACCUUACCUGGCCUUGACAUACUAGAAACUUUCCAGAGAUGGAUUGGUGCCUUCGGGAAUCUAGAUACAGGUGCUGCAUGCGUGUCGUCAGCUCGUGUCGUGAGAUGUUGGGUUAAGUCCCGCAACGAGCGCAACCCUUUUCCUUACUUGCCAGCAUUUCGGAUGGGAACUUUAAGGAUACUGCCAGUGACAAACUGGAGGAAGGCGGGGACGACGUCAAGUCAUCAUGGCCCUUACGGCCAGGGCUACACACGUGCUACAAUGGUCGGUACAAAGGGUUGCUACACAGCGAUGUGAUGCUAAUCUCAAAAAGCCGAUCGUAGUGGCGAUUGGAGUCUGCAACUCGACUCCAUGAAGUCGGAAAGCCUAGUAAUCGCGGAUCAGAAUGCCGCGGUGAAUACGUUCGGCGGCCUUGUACACACCGCCCGUCACACCAUGG